UACGUAGGGUGCAAGCGUUGUCCGGAAUUAUUGGGCGUAAAGAGCUCGUAGGCGGUUUGUCGCGUCGGAUGUGAAAACCCGGGGCUUAACCUUGGGCCUGCAUUCGAUACGGGCUGACUAGAGUUCGGCAGGGGAGACUGGAAUUCCUGGUGUAGCGGUGAAAUGCGCAGAUAUCAGGAGGAACACCGGUGGCGAAGGCGGCAUCCUGGACCGAGAUUGACGCUGAGGCGCGAAAGCCAGGGAGCAAACGGG
rnacentral:rRNA from 1 species